GAUGAACGCUAGCGACAGGCUUAACACAUGCAAGUCGAGGGGCAGCACAGGUAGCAAUACCGGGUGGCGACCGGCGCACGGGUGAGUAACGCGUAUGCAACUUACCUAUCAGAGGGGGAUAACCCGGCGAAAGUCGGACUAAUACCGCAUGAAGCAGGGGCCCCGCAUGGGGAUAUUUGCUAAAGAUUCAUCGCUGAUAGAUAGGCAUGCGUUCCAUUAGGCAGUUGGCGGGGUAACGGCCCACCAAACCGACGAUGGAUAGGGGUUCUGAGAGGAAGGUCCCCCACAUUGGUACUGAGACACGGACCAAACUCCUACGGGAGGCAGCAGUGAGGAAUAUUGGUCAAUGGGCGCGAGCCUGAACCAGCCAAGUCGCGUGAGGGAUGAAGGUUCUAUGGAUCGUAAACCUCUUUUAUAAGGGAAUAAAGUGCGGGACGUGUCCCGUUUUGUAUGUACCUUAUGAAUAAGGAUCGGCUAACUCCGUGCCAGCAGCCGCGGUAAUACGGAGGAUCCGAGCGUUAUCCGGAUUUAUUGGGUUUAAAGGGUGCGUAGGCGGCCUUUUAAGUCAGCGGUGAAAGUCUGUGGCUCAACCAUAGAAUUGCCGUUGAAACUGGGGGGCUUGAGUAUGUUUGAGGCAGGCGGAAUGCGUGGUGUAGCGGUGAAAUGCUUAGAUAUCACGCAGAACCCCGAUUGCGAAGGCAGCCUGCCAAGCCAUGACUGACGCUGAUGCACGAAAGCGUGGGGAUCAAACAGGAUUAGAUACCCUGGUAGUCCACGCAGUAAACGAUGAUCACUAGCUGUUUGCGAUACAGUGUAAGCGGCACAGCGAAAGCGUUAAGUGAUCCACCUGGGGAGUACGCCGGCAACGGUGAAACUCAAAGGAAUUGACGGGGGCCCGCACAAGCGGAGGAACAUGUGGUUUAAUUCGAUGAUACGCGAGGAACCUUACCCGGGUUUGAACGCAUUCGGACCGAGGUGGAAACACCUUUUCUAGCAAUAGCCGUUUGCGAGGUGCUGCAUGGUUGUCGUCAGCUCGUGCCGUGAGGUGUCGGCUUAAGUGCCAUAACGAGCGCAACCCUUGCCACUAGUUACUAACAGGUAAAGCUGAGGACUCUGGUGGGACUGCCAGCGUAAGCUGCGAGGAAGGCGGGGAUGACGUCAAAUCAGCACGGCCCUUACAUCCGGGGCGACACACGUGUUACAAUGGCGUGGACAAAGGGAUGCCACCUGGCGACAGGGAGCGAAUCCCCAAACCACGUCUCAGUUCGGAUCGGAGUCUGCAACCCGACUCCGUGAAGCUGGAUUCGCUAGUAAUCGCGCAUCAGCCAUGGCGCGGUGAAUACGUUCCCGGGCCU
rnacentral:rRNA from 1 species